rnacentral:rRNA from 1 species
CUGCCGGCGACCGGCGCACGGGUGAGUAACACGUAUGCAACCUGCCCCCCGCAGGGGGAUAACCCGGAGAAAUCCGGACUAAUACCGCGUGGUACACCAGUGGGGCAUCCCACUGGUGUUAAAAGGAAGUGAUUCCGGCGGAGGAUGGGCAUGCGGCGCAUUAGCUUGUUGGCGGGGUAACGGCCCACCAAGGCGACGAUGCGUAGGGGUUCUGAGAGGAAGGUCCCCCACACUGGUACUGAGACACGGACCAGACUCCUACGGAAGGCAGCAG